rnacentral:rRNA from 1 species
GAUGAACGCUGGCGGCGUGCCUAAUACAUGCAAGUCGAGCGAACAGACGAGGAGCUUGCUCCUUCGACGUUAGCGGCGGACGGGUGAGUAACACGUAGGUAACCUACCUAUAAGACUGGGAUAACUUCGGGAAACCGGAGCUAAUACCGGAUAAUAUUUCGAACCGCAUGGUUCGAUAGUGAAAGAUGGCUUUGCUAUCACUUAUAGAUGGACCUGCGCCGUAUUAGCUAGUUGGUAAGGUAACGGCUUACCAAGGCAACUAUACGUAGCCGACCUGAGAGGGGGAUCGGCCACACUGGAACGGAGACACGGUCCAGACUCCUACGGGAGGCAGCAGUAGGGAAUCUUCCGCAAUGGGCGAAAGCCUGACGGAGCAACGCCGCGUGAGUGAUGAAGGUCUUCGGAUCGUAAAACUCUGUUAUUAGGGAAGAACAAACGUGUAAGUAACGGUGCACGUCUUGACGGUACCUAAUCAGAAAGCCACGGCUAACUACGUG